rnacentral:rRNA from 1 species
GACGAACGCUGGCGGCGUGCUUAACACAUGCAAGUCGAACGAUGAAGCCGGAGCUUGCUCCGGUGGAUUAGUGGCGAACGGGUGAGUAACACGUGAGCAAUCUGCCCUUGACUCUGGGAUAACUGCGGGAAACUGUAGCUAAUACCGGAUACGACACCUUGGGGCAUCCCAGGGUGUGGAAAGAAUUUCGGUCAAGGAUGAGCUCGCGGCCUAUCAGCUAGUUGGUGAGGUAAUGGCUCACCAAGGCGACGACGGGUAGCCGGCCUGAGAGGGUGACCGGCCACACUGGGACUGAGACACGGUCCAGAGUCCUACGGGAGGCAGCAGUGGGGAAUAUUGCACAAAUGGGCGAAAGCCUGAUGCAGCAACGCCGCGUGAGGGAUGAAGGCCUUCGGGUUGUAAACCUCUUUUAGCAGGGAAGAAGCGAAAGUGACGGUACCUGCAGAAAAAGCACCGGCUAACUACGUGCCAGCAGCCGCGGUAA